CAGCCGCCACGGGAAUACGUAGGUGGCAAGCGUUGUCCGGAAUUAUUGGGCGUAAAGGGCUCGCAGGCGGUUUCUUAAGUCUGAUGUGAAAGCCCCCGGCUCAACCGGGGAGGGUCAUUGGAAACUGGGAAACUUGAGUGCAGAAGAGGAGAGUGGAAUUCCGCGUGUAGCGGUGAAAUGCGUAGAGAUGUGGAGGAACACCAGUGGCGAAGGCGACUCUCUGGUCUGUAACUGACGCUGAGGAGCGAAAGCGUGGGGAGCGAACAGGAUUAGAUACCCCCGUAGUCCCUGUCUCUUAUAC
rnacentral:rRNA from 1 species